rnacentral:rRNA from 1 species
CAGUCGCCGCGGGAAUACGUAGGUAGCAAGCGUUGUCCGGAAUUAUUGGGCGUAAAGGGCUCGCAGGCGGUUUCUUAAGUCUGAUGUGAAAGCCCCCGGCUCAACCGGGGAGGGUCAUUGGAAACUGGGAAACUUGAGUGCAGAAGAGGAGAGUGGAAUUCCACGUGUAGCGGUGAAAUGCGUAGAGAUGUGGAGGAACACCAGUGGCGAAGGCGACUCUCUGGUCUGUAACUGACGCUGAGGAGCGAAAGCGUGGGGAGCGAACAGGAUUAGAUACCCGUGUAGUCCCUGUCUCUUAUAC